UUAUUAGACUUAUUAGACAUUAUUAGAGAUAUUUAUUAGACAAGUUACCACAAACGACAGAAUUUCCUAAUUUUAUGGCAGCUUAAAAUAUCGAAAAGAGCCAAAAAUGCUGAAAUCUAAAAUUUUAUCAACUUAUCCUUGUCUAGUAG
ensembl:ncRNA C38D4.11 ncRNA